UAACAUUGCCCUCUUCUCUUCAUCAACAGCGUGGUAAUAAAAUUCUGGAUUUGAUCGUCAAACAAUGUAUCGACUUCUGUGAUUUAUGACAUAUAUUGCUGUCCCACAACUAUUAGCUAGCUUCAAUUUUAUCUCCAUUAGUCACUAGUAAUCAAUAUGCUUCUGUGAGUCGGGUCCUUCUGUAUGUACAAUAAAGGCUAGAUUAUAGUUACUAUAUGUUGAAUUGCCAUCUCUAGCAUUCAGUUAUCAGAUAAUGCCAAUUCUUGCUAAUUGUGCU
rnacentral:lncRNA from 1 species